rnacentral:rRNA from 1 species
CGCAGCCGCGGUAAUUCCAGCUCCAAUAGCGUAUAUUAAAGUUGUUGCAGUUAAAAAGCUCGUAGUUGAAUUUCGGGAUUGGCAUGUCGGUCGUGCCUUACGGGGUAUGAACUGGCAUCGUCGAUUCUCACCUUCUGGAGAAUCACGAUGCCCUUAAUUGGGUGUCGUGUGGAUCCAGGACCUUUACCUUGAAAAAAUUAGAGUGUUUAAAGCAGGCAUAUUGCUCGAAUACAUUAGCAUGGAAUAAUAAAAUAGGACGGCUUGGUUCUAUUUUGUUGGUUUCUAGGAUCACCGUAAUGAUUAAUAGGGAUAGUUGGGGGCAUUAGUAUUCAAUUGUCAGAGGUGAAAUUCUUGGAUUUAUUGAAGACUAACUACUGCGAAAGCAUUUGCCAAGGAUGUUUUCAUUAAUCAAGAACGAAAGUUAGGGGAUCGAAGACGAUCAGAUACCGUCGUAGUCUUAACCAUAAACUAUGCCGACUAGGAAUCAGACGAUGUUAAUUUUUUAAUGACUCGUUUG